rnacentral:rRNA from 1 species
UGAGCAACCUGCCCUUGACUCUGGAAUAACAGCUGGAAACAGCUGCUAAUACCGGAUACGACCUCCGAUGGCAUCAUCUGGAGGUGGAAAGCUCCGACGGUCAAGGAUGGGCUCGCGGCCUAUCAGCUUGUUGGUGAGGUAACGGCUCACCAAGGCUUCGACGGGUAGCCGGCCUGAGAGGGCGACCGGCCACACUGGGACUGAGAUACGGCCCAGACCUCUACGGGAG